GACCCUGUCUUAAAAAAAAAUUAAAAGGGUUGGUGAUGUAGUUCAAUGCGAAGGCUCUGGGUGCGUCAAUUCCCAGUAACGCACACACACACAGACACUCACUGCUGACUUGGAUAAGAAAGGCUCACUGACUUGACUCAUCUCCCUUAGUGAUCAUCCCUACUCAGGAGUUAACGUUUCUUCCCUUCCAGCGGUCUGUUCACGCCUCCCCGUCUUAAGCGAAUCAUAAGCGGCUGUGUCCAGGGAAGCGUGUCCCGCGCGGCCUACCGUAGCGCCUCCCUCCCCCCCUCCCCGUUCCGGGCGGACAUGGCCGCCCCCGAGUCCAGUCCUGCUUUGAGUCCUGGUAUUGCCGAGGGCGAGGAGGAGACGAUUCUCUACGACUUGUUAGUCAACACCGAGUGGCCUCCGGAGAUAGAAGUGCAGCCUUGAGGUAACCGAAAACAAGGUGCAUCGUUUAUCAUCACGAAAGCAAUCAGAGCAGGCGGUGAAACCACUGAGCUAAAUCCUCGGCCCUAGCUUUGAACCCCAGAUCAUGAUAUAGAUGCUGACAUUCAGGGAUCGAACUCGGGUCCUUGCGCUUGUGCAGCAGGCAUCGAAACCACUGAGCUAAAUCCCCGGCCCAGCCCUGCACCUUUUUUGCUCCCUGAUGGCCUGGUCUGCUUGGUGAAUAAACAGAUAAACUGGCAUUUGGUACUUGCAAGUACCGGGGAUCGAACUCAGGUCCUUGUGCUUGCACAGCAGGCAGCGAAACCACUGAGCUAAAUCCCCAGCCCGAUCCUGGAUGAAUUCUUUGUUGCAUAUGAUCAGUAUUGCCUAGAGAUGUUUAUUCAAACUAUAGUGAAGCUGUCGGUUUAGCUUCAUGAAUUUUUAUAUUCUACCUUUUUUGCAUGAGAAUGGUUGUUUUGUAUUCCUGGAAAAUUUCUCCCUUUCUCAUUGUGCAAUGUCUUUCUUGGUUUACUAUCAUAUCUUUUAUCUCGGAGGCUGCCUUUUCUCAUAUUAAUACAUUUACACCAAUUUUCUUAUGAUUAAACUUUGCAUGUUGUAACUUUUUCAUUUCUUGUACUCAACUUAUCUGUCUAUAUUUCAGAUGUAUACCUUCUAUAAGUCAGAUGUUAUUACUGCUUUUUCAAAAUGAUUUUGUGUUGAAAUGAUUAUGGACUCACAGGUACUUGAGGAAUGAGAUGUUCCAUGCACUCCUUACCCAGCUUCACCCAAUGUUGGCCGUUUGCAGAAAUAAUAGGGUGAUAUUAAAACCAGGAAAUGGACUUCUUCACCAGCAGUAUAUGACAGGCCUGAAUUCUUGUCAUCCACUCUUGUGUUAGGUCACUGGGAUUUUUCAUGUUAGCAAUUCAAGUAGGUUCGGGUGAUAUAGCAUUGUGGUUUUAAAUUGUAUUUCUCUAAUGGCUAACUACGGUGAAUAUCAUCUCUUUUUUCUAAGGGUUUCACAGGGUCACUAAGUUGCCAGACUGCACUGGAACUUGUGAUUCUCCUGCCUCAGUCUCUCUCCAGAGUUACCCGAUGACAGGCCUGCUCCACUACACCCAGGCCCAACAUAUUUUUAUUUGCC